GUUUUUCAAUUUUCGGUGUUUCUUUUCACUGCACUAUCUUUUUUCUUUUGCUGCUGCUUCUUGCUGCAAUGUGAUAGUGAUCCUUCUACUUGGAGCUACAUCAAUGAUCAUGUUCAUUUUCAUAUAGGACAGUGGUAUGCUUAACUUGGGAUAUAUGAUGUGGCUGUCAAGCAUAUGAUGGAAAUCUUGGCCUGCAGUCACCAGUCCAAGGCAACACAGGAAUUAUUCCUUAGUGACUUUCUUCAAACUGUGAAG